AGCAAUACAGGCCGGUGCACGGCGCACGGGUGCGUAACACGUGGGCAAUCUGCCCUCCGAUGGGGAAUAACCCCGCGAAAGCGGGGCUAAUUCCGCAUAAUAUUCCUUGGACGAUGGUCUGGGGAUUCAAAGCCGUAAGGCGUCGGAGGAGGAGCCCGCGUCCGAUUAGCUAGUUGGUGAGGUAACGGCUCACCAAGGCGACGAUCGGUAGCUGGUCUGAGAGGAUGAUCAGCCACAUUGGGACUGAGACACGGCCCAAACUCCUACGGGAGGCAGCAGUGGGGAAUAUUGGACAAUGGGCGCAAGCCUGAUCCAGCCAUGCCGCGUGAGUGAUGACGGCCUUAGGG
rnacentral:rRNA from 1 species